CACGUAGGGUGCGAGCGUUGUCCGGAAUUAUUGGGCGUAAAGAGCUCGUAGGCGGUUUGGUAAGUCAGGUGUGAAAUCUCCACGCUCAACGUGGAGGGGCCACCUGAUACUGCCAUGACUGGAGUCCGGUAGAGGAGUGUGGAAUUCCCGGUGUAGCGGUGAAAUGCGCAGAUAUCGGGAGGAACACCCGUAGCGAAGGCGGCACUCUGGGCCGGUACUGACGCCGAGGAGCGAAAGCGUGGGGAGCGAACAGG
rnacentral:rRNA from 1 species